AACCCCAACAGCUAGCCCAACCCCCAACAAAACAACAACCCCCAUCAAUACCCCCUCAACUAGAAGCCAGUAGAAGCAAACCAUUUUUCCCCCCCAGUACGGGAGACGGAACAGGGCCAUGGCGCCACAGAGCCAGUACCGCAAGGGAACGCUGAAAUAGAACUGAAACAACUCCCCUAAGGAGUAAAAAGCAGAGCCAACCCCUCGUACCUUUUGCAUCAUGAGUUAGCAAGCAUCUUCAGGCCAGGAGCCCCUUACGUCUGACCCCCCGAAACUGAGCGAGCUACUCCGAGACAGCUUAUCUAGAGCAAACCCGUCUCUGUGGCAAAAGAGUGGGGAGAGCUCCGAGUAGAGGUGAUAAACCUAUCGAGCCCAGUUAUAGCUGGUUGCCUGAGAACUGAAUAGAAGUUCACCCUUUUGACUCCUCCUACCCCAACAAGGAGGCCCCUCCACCAACAGGCACAGAGGACAUCAAAAGAGCUAUUCAAAAGAGGAACAGCUCCUUUGAAAUAAGACACAACUUUUAUAGCAGGGUAAAGACUAGACAUGCAAAGGAUACUACUGAAGUGGGCCUAAAAGCAGCCAUCUUAACAAAAAGCGUUAAAGCUCAGGUAGACGAAUCCCAUGAUUCUGGGCAAUUUAUCUUAUCCCCCUUAACCUAUCAGGCUUCCCCAUGCCAACAUGGGAGAAAAACUGCUAACAUGAGUAACAAGGAGCUUUAACUGUUCCUCCCCGCCGCUGUGUAAUCAGAACGCACCCUAACUGAAAAUUAACGCCCCCGACCAAAGAGGGCCGUAGGAUAACACCAGACACAACUAGAUAUGCCCCUACAAUAAAACGUUAGCCCCACACCGGUUGGCCUAGGGAAAGAUACAAAGGGGGAGAAGGAACUCGGCAAACACUAGCCUCGCCUGUUUACCAAAAACAUCGCCUCUUGCAAACCCCAUAUAAGAGGUCCCGCCUGCCCUGUGACACAAGUUUAACGGCCGCGGUAUUUUGACCGUGCGAAGGUAGCGUAAUCACUUGUCUUUUAAAUGAAGACCUGUAUGAAUGGCAUAACGAGGGCUAUGCUGUCUCCUUCCCCCAAUCAGUGAAAUUGAUCUCCUCGUGCAGAAGCGAGCAUGGGCCCAUAAGACGAGAAGACCCUAUGGAGCUUAAGGCAAUAGAACAGCCUAAGUCAAAAACCUCCCAUAAAUGAGAGCGAACUAACUAGCCCCUGUUUAGCUGCCUUUGGUUGGGGCGACCGCGGAGAAACGACCACCCCCCGAGCAGAAUGGGUAUCACCCCCUUAAGCCAGGGCUACAGCCCUAGCCCCCAGAAACUCUGACCCCCAGACCCGGCAAUGCCGAUCAACGGACCCAGUUACCCUAGGGAUAACAGCGCAAUCCUCUUUGAGAGCCCGUAUCGACAAGGGGGUUUACGACCUCGAUGUUGGAUCAGGACAUCCUAUUGGUGCAGCCGCUAUUAAGGGUUCGUUUGUUCAACGAUUAAAGUCCU
rnacentral:rRNA from 1 species